rnacentral:rRNA from 1 species
GACGAACGCUGGCGGCGUGCUUAACACAUGCAAGUCGUACGGUAAGGCCCUUUCGGGGGUACACGAGUGGCGAACGGGUGAGUAACACGUGAGUAACCUGCCCACAACUUUGGGAUAACGCUAGGAAACUGGUGCUAAUACUGGAUAUGUGCUCCUGCUGCAUGGUGGGGGUUGGAAAGCUCCGGCGGUUGUGGAUGGACUCGCGGCCUAUCAGCUUGUUGGUGGGGUAGUGGCCUACCAAGGCGGCGACGGGUAGCCGGCCUGAGAGGGUGACCGGCCACAUUGGGACUGAGAUACGGCCCAGACUCCUACGGGAGGCAGCAGUGGGGAAUAUUGCCCAAUGGGCGCAAGCCUGAUGCAGCAACGCCGCGUGCGGGAUGACGGCCUUCGGGUUGUAAACCGCUUUCAGCAGGGACGAAGCUUUUUGUGACGGUACCUGCAGAAGAAGCACCGGCUAACUACGUG